rnacentral:rRNA from 1 species
GACGAACGCUGGCGGCGGGCUUAACACAUGCAAGUCGAACGGAAAGGCCCUGCUUUUGUGGGGUGCUCGAGUGGCGAACGGGUGAGUAACACGUGAGUAACCUGCCCUUGACUUUGGGAUAACUUCAGGAAACUGGGGCUAAUACCGGAUAGGAGCUCCUGCUGCAUGGUGGGGGUUGGAAAGUUUCGGCGGUUGGGGAUGGACUCGCGGCUUAUCAGCUUGUUGGUGGGGUAGUGGCUUACCAAGGCUUUGACGGGUAGCCGGCCUGAGAGGGUGACCGGCCACAUUGGGACUGAGAUACGGCCCAGACUCCUACGGGAGGCAGCAGUGGGGAAUAUUGCACAAUGGGCGGAAGCCUGAUGCAGCAACGCCGCGUGCGGGAUGACGGCCUUCGGGUUGUAAACCGCUUUCGCCUGUGACGAAGCGUGAGUGACGGUAAUGGGUAAAGAAGCACCGGCUAACUACGUGCCAGCAGCCGCGGUGAUACGUAGGGUGCGAGCGUUGUCCGGAUUUAUUGGGCGUAAGGGGCUCGUAGGUGGUUGAUCGCGUCGGAAGUGUAAUCUUGGGGCUUAACCCUGAGCGUGCUUUCGAUACGGGUUGACUUGAGGAAGGUAGGGGAGAAUGGAAUUCCCGGUGGAGCGGUGGAAUGCGCAGAUAUCAGGAGGAACACCAGUGGCGAAGGCGGUUCUCUGGGCCUUUCCUGACGCUGAGGAGCGAAAGCGUGGGGAGCGAACAGGCUUAGAUACCCUGGUAGUCCACGCUGUAAACGGUGGGUACUAGGUGUGGGGUCCAUUCCACGGGUUCCGUGCCGUAGCUAACGCUUUAAGUACCCCGCCUGGGGAGUACGGCCGCAAGGCUAAAACUCAAAGGAAUUGACGGGGCCCCGCACAAGCGGCGGAGCAUGCGGAUUAAUUCGAUGCAACGCGUAGAACCUUACCUGGGUUUGACAUGGAUCGGGAGUGCUCAGAGAUGGGUGUGCCUCUUUUGGGGUCGGUUCACAGGUGGUGCAUGGCUGUCGUCAGCUCGUGUCGUGAGAUGUUGGGUUAAGUCCCGCAACGAGCGCAACCCUUGUUCACUGUUGCCAGCACGUUAUGGUGGGGACUCAGUGGAGACCGCCGGGGUCAACUCGGAGGAAGGUGGGGAUGACGUCAAGUCAUCAUGCCCCUUAUGUCCAGGGCUUCACGCAUGCUACAAUGGCUGGUACAGAGAGUGGCGAGCCUGUGAGGGUGAGCGAAUCUCGGAAAGCCGGUCUCAGUUCGGAUUGGGGUCUGCAACUCGACCUCAUGAAGUCGGAGUCGCUAGUAAUCGCAGAUCAGCAACGCUGCGGUGAAUACGUUCCCGGGGCU